CUAGCGUUGGCACGAAACAGAGGUCUGGAGACAACCGAACCUCCAUUAUCGCCGUUUUCCGAGCUGCGCCAGUCGAGUAAGCAUCCCGAAGUUGUGGGAGGUUAGCUUCUCCGACCCUUCCCCAAACCCUCGCAGAGAAAAAAGAACCAGAGCUCGAGAAAAGGUUGGCUUAUCGACCAAACAGCAUACCCGCCUCUCUUGUCGGCAAUGUCUUUCCUUCUCUGGCGUCUCCUUUUAGCUCCGGUGACUUUCAGUCUUCAUUACAUUGAACACAAAGUGGAUGUUGUUUCUUUAUGUCAAUAUUGCAACAAGUUGUAUCGGUACCGGAGGAGCACCGAUCUACGGAGGCAGAAGGGGUUUCAAGGCGCAGUUUCCAAAGAGAGAACAACCAGCAUCGGUACCGGAGCAAUGGAAACGACAGAUUCUUCGAGGGGAGAGGGAGGAAGAACUGGGUUGGGGUUUCUGAGGAAGGGAAAUCCAUUUAUGGGAUCUGUUUGGGGCAAAGCUCAUCUAUCGAGAUGAGGGAGUCCGACAAUUUCUCCUUGAAGGAAAAAGGAAAGUCUCAGAUUUAGGGAUUUUGGAAACAGAAAAAACGUAUAAAUUAAUAUAAAAAUGUUAAUAAAAUGUAUUUAUGAAAAAAAAAAAAAAAA